GUGGGGAAUAUUGGGCAAUGGGGGAAACCCUGACCCAGCAACGCCGCGUGAAGGAAGAAGGCUUUCGGGUUGUAAACUUCUUUUAUGAGGGACGAAGAAGUGACGGUACCUCAUGAAUAAGCCACGGCUAACUACGUGCCAGCAGCCGCGGUAAUACGUAGGUGGCAAGCGUUGUCCGGAUUUACUGGGUGUAAAGGGCGCGUAGGCGGGAUAGCAAGUCAGGUGUGAAAUCCGGAGGCUUAACCCUCGAACUGCACUUGAAACUGUUAUUCUUGGGUGAUGGAGAGGCAAGCGGAAUUCCUAGUGUAGCGGUGAAAUGCGUAGAUAUUAGGAGGAACACCAGUGGCGAAGGCGGCUAGCUGGACAUUAACUGACGCGGAGGCGCGAAAGCGUGGGGAGCAAACAGGAUUAGAAACCCCAGUAGUCC
rnacentral:rRNA from 1 species